UGGUGGAGUGAUUUGUCUGGUUAAUUCCGAUAACGAACGAGACCUUAACCUGCUAAAUAGCCAGGCCGGCUUUUGCUGGUCGCCGGCUUCUUAGAGGGACUGUCGGCUCAAGCCGAUGGAAGUUUGAGGCAAUAACA
rnacentral:rRNA from 1 species